rnacentral:rRNA from 1 species
UCUACGGGAGGCAGCAGUGGGGAAUAUUGCACAAUGGGGGAAACCCUGAUGCAGCAACGCCGCGUGAAGGAAGACGGUUUUCGGAUUGUAAACUUCUGUUCUUAGUGAAGAAUAAUGACGGUAGCUAAGGAGCAAGCCACGGCUAACUACGUGCCAGCAGCCGCGGUAAUACGUAGGUGGCAAGCGUUAUCCGGAUUUAUUGGGUGUAAAGGGCGUGUAGGCGGGAGCGCAAGUCAGAUGUGAAAACUCAGGGCUCAACCCUGAGCCUGCAUUUGAAACUGUGUUUCUUGAGUGCUGGAGAGGCAAUCGGAAUUCCGUGUGUAGCGGUGAAAUGCGUAGAUAUACGGAGGAACACCAGUGGCGAAGGCGGAUUGCUGGACAGUAACUGACGCUGAGGCGCGAAAGCGUGGGGAGCAAACAGGAUUAGAUACCCGAGUAGUC